rnacentral:SRP_RNA from 1 species
AGUCUGGUGGCGGGCGAGGCGCUCGCCAACCCGGUCAGGUCCGGAAGGAAGCAGCCGUAACGAGUCAGUCUCGGGUCGCUCGCCAGGCGCCC